GACGAACGCUGGCGGCGUGCCUAAUACAUGCAAGUAGAACGCUGAAGGAGGAGCUUGCUUCUCUGGAUGAGUUGCGAACGGGUGAGUAACGCGUAGGUAACCUGCCUGGUAGCGGGGGAUAACUAUUGGAAACGAUAGCUAAUACCGCAUAAUAGUAGAUGUUGCAUGACAUUUGCUUAAAAGGUGCAAUUGCAUCACUACCAGACGGACCUGCGUUGUAUUAGCUAGUUGGUGGGGUAACGGCUCACCAAGGCGACGAUACAUAGCCGACCUGAGAGGGUGAUCGGCCACACUGGGACUGAGACACGGCCCAGACUCCUACGGGAGGCAGCAGUAGGGAAUCUUCGGCAAUGGACGGAAGUCUGACCGAGCAACGCCGCGUGAGUGAAGAAGGUUUUCGGAUCGUAAAGCUCUGUUGUAAGAGAAGAACGAGUGUGAGAGUGGAAAGUUCACACUGUGACGGUAUCUUACCAGAAAGGGACGGCUAACUACGUG
rnacentral:rRNA from 1 species